AUUGAACGCUGGCGGCAUGCCUUACACAUGCAAGUCGAACGGCAGCACGGGUGCUUGCACCUGGUGGCGAGUGGCGAACGGGUGAGUAAUACAUCGGAACAUGUCCUGUAGUGGGGGAUAGCCCGGCGAAAGCCGGAUUAAUACCGCAUACGAUCUACGGAUGAAAGCGGGGGCCCUUCGGGCCUCGCGCUUUAGGGUUGGCCGAUGGCGGAUUAGCUAGUUGGUGGGGUAAAGGCCUACCAAGGCGACGAUCAGUAGCUGGUCUGAGAGGACGACCAGCCACACUGGGACUGAGACACGGCCCAGACUCCUACGGGAGGCAGCAGUGGGGAAUUUUGGACAAUGGGCGAAAGCCUGAUCCAGCAAUGCCGCGUGUGUGAAGAAGGCCUUCGGGUUGUAAAGCACUUUUGUCCGGAAAGAAAUGCUUGGCCCUAAUACGGUCGGGGGAUGACGGUACCGGAAGAAUAAGCACCGGCUAACUACGUG
rnacentral:rRNA from 1 species